AUUGAACGCUGGCGGCAUGCCUAACACAUGCAAGUCGAACGGCAGCAUGAUAAGAGCUUGCUCUUAUUGAUGGCGAGUGGCGGACGGGUGAGUAAUAUGUAGGAAUCUACCUAGAGGAGGGGGAUAACUUAGGGAAACUUAAGCUAAUACCACAUAAGCCCUACGGGGGAAAGCAGGGGAUCGCAAGACCUUGCGCCAUAUGAUGAGCCUACAUCGGAUUAGCUUGUUGGUGGGGUAAAGGCCUACCAAGGCGAUGAUCCGUAGCUGGUCUGAGAGGAUGACCAGCCACACUGGGACUGAGACACGGCCCAGACUCCUACGGGAGGCAGCAGUGGGGAAUAUUGGACAAUGGGGGCAACCCUGAUCCAGCAAUGCCGCGUGUGUGAAGAAGGCCUUAGGGUUGUAAAGCACUUUCAGUGGGGAGGAAGGGUUUAAUGCUAAUAUCAUUGAACAUUGACGUUACCCACAGAAGAAGCACCGGCUAACUCUGUGCCAGCCGCCGCCGUAA
rnacentral:rRNA from 1 species